rnacentral:pre_miRNA from 1 species
UUUUAAAAAAAAUCAUCCAUUAGUACUAUUAAAAAUUGAUAUGGAUGACAAAAUAAUCAAACAAUGACAUGUGGUAUGCCACGUGUACUUCAUACUAACAUGUAUGAAUCAAUUUUUAAUAGUAGAAAUAUAUGAAAAUUUUAAUA